rnacentral:lncRNA from 1 species
UUUUUUUAUCAUCCAUUCACGUCACAAAGAGUGGCCCACAAUAACCAAAAGGAGGCUAUCUUUAUUUUUGUUGAAAUCAGUUCUAUUUCAGAUCAUCUUUGCGAUUUGUUCACUCUUGGGCUGGUUUAUGUUGUUGUUAUUUGGAUUUGGGUCUCAUCGGUCCCGGCUUUCACUACUGAUUGGAGAAUUCAAGUCUCAUUCGUCCUGAUUUGUUCAUCGCGACUAGUUUUGGGGUUUCAAAUUUCAAUACCGAGUUUGGAGUUGGUUCGUUCGUCAUUGGGGUUCUUGUUCGAGGAUUUUGAUCUCAGAUUUCUUUAUUAUUAUCAAUGAAAACAAGUGCUAUUGAGGUCUAUUUCCUUAAUCCACUCUCUUUUUAUUUAUUUUGAUUUGUUGAAUUGACUCUGAUUAUGUGUGAUGUGAUUAUGUUUUGUUGGAUUUUUGUUACCUUGAUGUUAUGAUCAUGAUGCUUGGUGAUUCGGUUGUAGUGGUUUGAGGAAUAAAUUUGAUCAUGUUUUAAUGGAUUGAUAAAAAAAAAUUGGGGGUGAGGAUUGAAAAUUAACAAAAAGGAUAGAUUCGAUUUAAUUUUGAUUUAUUGAUUGAUUUGAAUCGUGAUAGAUUUAUGAUGUGUUGAAACGGAUAGGCAAUAUAGGUUCGGGUAGGUAAAUUUUAGAAUUUGUUGUUUUGAUUGAAAGUUGGAAUGUACCUGUGAAUGUUUCUUUCUAGUUCAUCAUAUUUAAUUUAAAUGUAUUCAUUUAGCCAGGGAAUGCCCCGAGAGACGUUGUAUUUACUCACCGGGGAAUGCCCCGACAUAUUAUGUUGACAGAAGACGUUUAUGAUGAAGGCCCGAGGCAUUGGGUAAAGCGCAAGAGCAUAGUUAGGGUUAGUGUAGGUUAGAUAGGAUUUAUUUUUGUGUUUUUAUUUAUUUUGGACUGUAUAAUUGGACUGAACACUAUAUUUUGGAUUUAUUUAGUUUCUUGUGUUUGGAUGCUUGUUUAUGUGUUUUAUGUGGUUUAUACGCCCUUAGUGUUAAAAUUAGCCGAUACGCUUCACCAAGCGAUCGUGGUCAAACCACUGGACCGAGGGGUGCCUAAACCUUUCCCUCGGUCAACAGAAUUCCUUAGUCGGAACUUCUAUUCACAGAUCAAUUUUUACAGAGUCAAAAAUUAUUUUGAAAAGGAUUUUCCAAAGGUGACUUGGCACAUCGGAUUAUGCCAAGUGGCGACUCUGAGUUUUGAAUAUAAAAGAUCCUUUUUGAAAUAAAUUUUCAUCUUUUGUCACUUUGAUAAUAAAAAUCCUUUCAAACUUAAAAAUGAAUCUUUUUGGUGGUAAAAAAGGAGUGUGACAGCUCUGGCGACUCUGCUGGAGACUUUUCAGAAUUCGAGCUAAUUUUUGGAGUUGUAUCGACUUUGUUUGACAUUAUGGGUGUAUAGACAUUGUUUGUAUCAUUUUUUCUUUAUUUUAUCAUUGUUGAGUGCCUACGUGCUCUUUGUUUAUAGUUUUUAUCCUAUGUGUUACCGCUUUAUAUCUGUUAUCAUGUGCAUAAAUCGAGUCAUUCUUUUCGCAACAAGUCUGUAGUACACGUGUUGUACACGACCUAUAGUUGAGUCACCCUUAUCUUAGGAGGGGGAGCCGUCGGUGUUAUGGAGUGGGUGGAAAGCUCUCGCAGCCACUAUCGACCAUACGCUCUCCCGAACAGCCUUGUUAGUGAACCCCAACGUAGGUCAGCCCUUAGGUCAUGCUUAUUUGCAUCAUAUUGAGACCUAGCGGGACCCACUUGGUCCUUUGUAGGAGACUCACCUCUAAAGCAUCCCUACAUUCUAAAUGUCGCAUCUCUGAGGGCAAUGUGGUCAUUUGAUGGACUGAUUUGGGGAAAAACAUGUGCUAGAAGUAAAGUGUGUAGACAAGAAAUGUGGAAAAGUGAAAAAAAAAUAUUUUGUAGUUUUUAGUGUUCUUUAUGGCUUUUGAUUUUUACAAUUCAAAAAUAUUUUUUACCUUUGGCACUUAUUUAUACAAAAAAAAUGAAAAGCUUUUUACUUUGUCUCCUUUAGCAUGCAUUCAUAAUUCGAAAACUUCAAAAACGCUUUUUAAUAGAAGCCUUUUAUAAUUCAAAAAAUAUGGUAGAAGUUUUGUACAUUUCAUAUAUCAUUUAACAAAAAUACCAAAAGAUUUUUCCUUCAUAUUUGUUGGUGUCAGUUUUGUUUGGAGUGUCUAGUUAAAAACCCCAAAAAAGAUUUUAUUCAUCAGUCUUUGGUUAUGUCUCUUAAGUUAAGGUGCAGUGUAUUAUUUAAUCGUUAAUUGUCCAAUUUGGACCAACUACGCAUACCUGAUUUUUGUUCCUCGGGGUGGGAUACGUAGGCAACCCUCGAUGGGUUUGGUAAUCUCUUUAAUUUUUUUUGUCUUUGUCUCGAUUUUAGCCUAGGGUCUAUCUCCACGUAAUCUAGUGUCGUUAACUGGUCCUUGCCAAGUAGGUUGAUUUCAUUCGGCGGUACUGUUCGGUGAUUUGGAUUCAUAAGUGGUCUGUCCCUUCGACAUAUGUCUGUGUCAAAUUUCCAAGGGUUGGGACUCUUUUGCUCUAAUUGAAUUGCUUGUUAAGUUAAUAUCCUAUGUGUUAUUUCAGGAUGGACCCAACCACGAGGUCUAGAGUUCGGAUGGUUUCCAAGGUCUCUAAAAAGUUAGUCAAGUGGUGGGGUACGUUCAACUACACUGA